rnacentral:piRNA from 1 species
UGCCUGUAAUCCCAGCACUUUGGGAGGCC